CGGUCCGGCCGGAGGACAAGGAAGCGUGGAAGAAGAACCGAAGCUGUCGAAGCAACGUUCGCGGGAAGUCUAACCGCUUGAAGCACGUUGCAGAGUCGAGACCAGUUGAGCGGCCGGAAUUUUACGAACGAUUAUGCAAGCGUACGUCUUGAGGACGACCAUGAGCCACAUAUCAUCUCAAAUUUCUGCCCGUCAAGCCUUGUGACGAAACGGAAUCGGACUUCUUCAAGGCGCGGAUCCUAAAGUUGUUUGGAUCGCAGAGUGACGCGGAAACCCAGUGACAGUAAGCGGGUGCUAGUACCUCCGACGAGAUGAGUGACUGCCCGGGAGGGCUGGAGGAAGCUUGUGUGAGACAGACUUCACACACGAAAGUUCUCAAAUAGAAGAGGGAAUCAAUGUUCAUCCGGUAAGGUUUGGUAAUUAUCUCCGCCACAGAUGGCCUCCUUGGCGAAUUGUAACCGGCAGACCUUCAAACCGCACAAAGGCUAAGCAAAGCCACAACUGGAUGCAGCAAGACUAAAAGCUUUAUAAUAUACUCUGGCCCAAACCAGGCCAAUCAACGUGCUGGCCUGAACCAGGCCAAUCAACGUGCUGGCCCGAGCCCGGCCCGGGCCCACAGUCAAAAGUCCGAGCCCAUCCCAGGCCUGGGCUUUCGGCUCAGCAAAGUCUGUGGAUCUGGUUAUGCUUCCUGUACGAGACAGAUCACGAAGCGGUUGCUGACUGACCAGUUGGGGCGAAAAUUUUUGUGGGAAGGACGCAAGAGAAAGUUGACAUUCAGGAACCUUCACCUUGCUGAGUGCAUCAUAAAUGCAGUGCAGAGCUGCCAUAAAUGUGAAGACUUCAAGGUAGAAACCAUGGUCACGGAUUAACUUCGCCACGCACCUGCCUGACAUCAGUCAUCUCAAAUGGAACAUUCUGCACCACAGGAGAUAGAGAUGUGAACUGCCUUAAGUGGGCCUUGAAUGUGCUGAGCUUUUUAUUAUGUUUAUCAGACAUUUUUUUUAAGCAAAGUAUCCUGCAUUGUUCAGUAAGUAUACUUUAUUUUGAAAACCUCAUGCUGUCUAUGCAGCAUUGUUCAAAAAUUAUACUUUAUUUUAAAAGCAUCAAGCACUGCUCGUCUGUCUAACAGUAACAAUAAAGAGUUAAUGGUGA